GACGAACGCUGGCGGCGUGCUUAACACAUGCAAGUCGAGCGGAAAGGCCACUUCGGUGGUACUCGAGCGGCGAACGGGUGAGUAACACGUGAGUAAUCUGCCCUUGGCUUUGGGAUAGCCACCGGAAACGGUGAUUAAUACCGGAUAUGACCACUUCACGCAUGUGAUGGUGGUGGAAAGUUUUUCGGCCAGGGAUGUGCUGGCGGCCUAUCAGCUUGUUGGUGAGGGAUGGCUCACCAUGGCUUCGACGGGUAGCCGGCCUGAGAGGGUGACCGGUCACACUGGGACUGAGACACGGCCCAGACUCCUACGGGAGGCAGCAGUGGGGAAUAUUGGACAAUGGGCGGAAGCCUGAUCCAGCAACGCCGCGUGAGGGAUGACGGCCUUCGGGUUGUAAACCUCUUUCGCCUAUGACGAAGCGCAAGUGACGGUAAUAGGUAAAGAAGCACCGGCCAACUACGUGCCAGCCGCCGCGGUAAUAC
rnacentral:rRNA from 1 species